UACGUAGGUGGCAAGCGUUGUCCGGAAUUAUUGGGCGUAAAGCGCGCGCAGGCGGUUCUUUAAGUCUGAUGGGAAAGCCCACGGCUCAACCGUGGAGGGUCAUUGGAAACUGGAGAACUUGAGUACAGAAGAGGAAAGCGGAAUUCCACGUGUAGCGGUGAAAUGCGUAGAGAUGUGGAGGAACACCAGUGGCGAAGGCGGCUUACUGGUCCGGAUCUGACGCUGAGGCACGAAAGCGUGGGGAGCAAACAGG
rnacentral:rRNA from 1 species